rnacentral:misc_RNA from 1 species
UCCGGUUUGGCACCGGCAGUCUCCAAUGAGUUCCCGGCAUUACCCGCUGGCAGCAUUGGACAGGGGUUGCGCUCGUUGCGCCACUUAAGGCAACACCUCACGGCACGAGCUGACGACAACCAUGCACCACCUGUGAAGGUGCCCCGAAGGGAAGGCCUGUUUCCAGGCCGGUCACCUACAUGUCAAGCCCAGGUAAGGUUCUUCGCGUUGCGUCGAAUUAAACCACAUGCUCCACCGCUUGUGCGGGCCCCCGUCAAUUCCUUUGAGUUUCAACCUUGCGGCCGUACUCCCCAGGCGGGACGCUUAAUGCGUUAGCUGCGCCACUGAUAAGCAUGCUUACCAACGGCUAGCAUCCAUCGUUUACGGCGUGGACUAC